UGGCAUUCUUUUCUAUUUGGUUUUACCAUGUAUUUUGAAAAGUCAGUAGAAUUGCUGAUUCUUUUGGCAAAAGAGGAGCUAGAGGAGUAUCAUGUCAUUAUUUUGAUCCCUACAAUGCUACGAAUGAAGUGAAUGGCUUCUUUAUGCGUGAUUUGUGGUCAUGGUUGUGGAAUGCUUAUGGUCGUGGAGCUGCUGGAUUUGCCUGAAUUUUCUCGUACAUCUGGUUCGUUUUACGCUUCGGGAUGAGAAGGAUUUGCCUAUGGUUUAGCAAAUGGGGAAAUGGUGACAAUAGUGGCUCGGAUUUAUCAAAUAGUCUUAGUUUUGCAAUUGAAAGAAAUAUGAGGCAUUUUGUACCUUA